rnacentral:rRNA from 1 species
UACAGAGGGGGCAAGCGUUGUUCGGAAUUACUGGGCGUAAAGGGCGCGUAGGCGGCCUGCUAAGUCGAACGUGAAAUCCCCGAGCUCAACUCGGGAACUGCGUCCGAUACUGGCGGGCUUGAAUCCGGGAGAGGGAUGCGGAAUUCCAGGUGUAGCGGUGAAAUGCGUAGAUAUCUGGAGGAACACCGGUGGCGAAGGCGGCAUCCUGGACCGGCAUUGACGCUGAGGCGCGAAAGCUAGGGGAGCAAACGGG